AUCUCGGGCUUGGUUAGUACUUGGAUGGGUGACCGCUUGGGAAUACCAAGUGUGAUAAGCA
rnacentral:rRNA from 1 species